CUAUUUGAAAGGGGAAUAGUGUUCUGUAAGAUACGAAUGGAGCCUGGGGACCAGGGAUUGUCUCCUCAUUACAGCUUCAAGAAGGCCAUGAAGCUGAUGACACUUUCAAUUCGCCAGCUUGGAAGGGGGAGUCAUAGAAAGUUUGAGAUUGCCAGUCGAAAUGGACUUGAGAAAUACAUCCUGCAGGCAGCUUCAAAAGAAACCAGAGACUGUUGGUUUUCAGAAAUAAGUAAAUUAUUGAUGGAACAACAAAAUAAUAUCAAAGACCAAGGAAAUCCACAGUUUGAAAUGAGCACGAGCAAAGGCAAUGGAGCAGGAUGCGGACCAUGGAUUAAAAAUAUGGAAAGAGCUACCACUAGCAAGGAAGACCCAGCCUCCAGCACAGGAGGGAUUAAAGGAACCCGGGGCCUGGGGGGAGACAGGUGAGGGCACACCCAGAGCAGCUGCAGUUUGUCUCAGGAGAGACGUGUCGCCCAAGGGCCUGGAUGAGACUCCCCCACCUCCGCAGCCCCCUUCCUGCUUUGUCUCCUAGGAUAGAACAAAGCACGAUAGGAUGAGGUGGGACAGAUGAGGACUUCACACACUCUA
rnacentral:sRNA from 1 species